GUUGACGAACCGUGCAAGUCCCAUCACUCGUCCGGAUACGUAUUCAGCAGAGGGUGUGUAAAAAUAAUGUGUAAAUCUGUCGGCGAGGUUCAAAAUAAAAAUUUUCCAAAAACAGUGUCGAUUUUCCCCAGUUAGUAUUUCGGUAAUAAUAUACUAUAUACAUAAUAUAGUAUUAUAUGGGAUCUUAAAAUAUAAUAUGAAAUUCGAAAAAAGGUCAAAUUAUGUUACGCAUAUUAUAAUAUGUACAAUGUACAUAAUAUAAUAUGUAUGUGUAUGCUGUUCUGCUGUGUAUAAUAUAUUUGCGGGCAUAUGAUUCCAGUAAGUACAUCAAAAACCGGGUGGAAUGCUUUAAACGGAAAAUUCUACUAAAGAAUAAAGACUUUUCCGAACGCCGAGUUUUAGGACGAAAGGGAUGAAUAAAUACAACCAUUAUGAACUCCUCAUUA